rnacentral:rRNA from 1 species
UACGAAGGGGGCUAGCGUUGCUCGGAAUCACUGGGCGUAAAGCGCACGUAGGCGGCCUGUUAAGUCGAACGUGAAAUCCCCGGGCUCAACCCGGGAACUGCGUCCGAUACUGGCAGGCUUGAAUCCGGGAGAGGGACGUGGAAUUCCAGGUGUAGCGGUGAAAUGCGUAGAUAUCUGGAGGAACACCGGUGGCGAAGGCGGCAUCCUGGACCGGUAUUGACGCUGAGGCGCGAAAGCCAGGGGAGCAAACGGG